UACGAAGGGGGCUAGCGUUGCUCGGAAUCACUGGGCGUAAAGCGCACGUAGGCGGAUUGCUAAGUCAGGGGUGAAAUCCUGGAGCUCAACUCCAGAACUGCCUUUGAUACUGGCGACCUUGAGUCCGGGAGAGGUGAGUGGAACUGCGAGUGUAGAGGUGAAAUUCGUAGAUAUUCGCAAGAACACCAGUGGCGAAGGCGGCUUACUGGUCCGGUACUGACGCUGAGGUGCGAAAGCGUGGGGAGCAAACAGG
rnacentral:rRNA from 1 species